AUUGAACGCUGGCGGCAUGCCUUACACAUGCAAGUCGAACGGCAGCACGGUUGCUUGCUCCUGUUGUCGAUUGGCGAUCGGGUGAGUAUUACAUCUGAACCUGUCCUUUCGUUUUGGUUAGCCCUGCGAAAGCCGGAUUUAUACCGCUUACGAUCUACGCAUUAAAGCGGGGGCCCUUCUUCCCUCGCCCUUUCGCGUUUGCCGAUGCCUUAUUAGCUAGUUGGUGGGGUAAAGGCCUACCAAGGCGACGAUCAGUAGCUGGUCUGAGAGGACGACCAGCCACACUGGAACUGAGACACGGACAAGACUACUACGGGAGGAAGCAGUGGGGAAUAUUGGACAAUGGGCGAAAGCAUGAUCCAGCAAUGCCGCGUGGGUGAAGAAGGCCUUCGGGUUGUAAAGCACUUUUGUGAGGAAAGAAAAGAAGGGGAAUAAUACGGGGGGGGGAUGACGGUACCGGAAGAAUAAGCACCGGCUAACUACGUG
rnacentral:rRNA from 1 species